GCCAGGAAGAGGAAGAAAGAGAAUAUCUAAGAGCAGUGGGAAUGGGAACAUGGAGGAAAGCAUGAUAACUGUCUGUUUUUACCUCUAGAAUUGGAUACAGACAUUUGUCUCAGCGUUUUCCUGAUGCCUCCCAUUCCUGCAGUUCUUAUGUGUUCCUUCCUCUUCCUCUGGCCU
rnacentral:pre_miRNA from 1 species